rnacentral:rRNA from 1 species
UAGGGAAUCUUCCACAAUGGACGCAAGUCUGAUGGAGCAACGCCGCGUGAGUGAAGAAGGUUUUCGGAUCGUAAAGCUCUGUUGUUGGUGAAGAAGGAUAGAGGCAGUAACUGGUCUUUAUUUGACGGUAAUCAACCAGAAAGUCACGGCUAACUACUUCCCAG